AGUGAACGCUGGCGGUAGGCCUAACACAUGCAGGUCGAACGGCAGCACAGUAAGAGCUUGCUCUUACGGGUGGCGAGUGGCGGACGGGUGAGGAAUACAUCGGAAUCUACUUUUUCGUGGGGGAUAACGUAGGGAAACUUACGCUAAUACCGCAUACGCCCUACGGGUGAAAGCAGGGGAUCUUCGGACCUUGCGCGAUUGAAUGAGCCGAUGUCGGAUUAGCUAGUUGGCGGGGUAAAGGCCCACCAAGGCGACGAUCCGUAGCUGGUCUGAGAGGAUGAUCAGCCACACUGGAACUGGGACACGGUCCAGACUCCUACGGGAGGCAGCAGUGGGGAAUAUUGGACAAUGGGCGCAAGCCUGAUCCAGCCAUACCGCGUGGGUGAAGAAGGCCUUCGGGUUGUAAAGCCCUUUUGUUGGGAAAGAAAAGCAGCAGGUUAAUACCCCGCUGUUCUGACGGUACCCAAAGAAUAAGCACCGGCUAACUUCGUG
rnacentral:rRNA from 1 species